GACCGCUGGUGUGAAACCCAGAGGAAGGCGAGGGCAACGACAGGUCAGUAUGCCCCGAAUGUCCUGGGCUACACGCGCGCUACAAAGGACGGGACAAUGGGAAGCUAGGCCGAGAGGCCACGCUAACCCGAAACCCGUUCAUAGUUCGGAUUGAGGGCUGUAACUCGCCCUCAUGAAGCUGGAUUCCGUAGUAAUCGUGUUUCAAUAUAGCACGGUGGAUAUGCCCCUGCUCCUUGCACACACCGCCCGUCAAACCA
rnacentral:rRNA from 1 species